UGGGGAAUAUUGCACAAUGGAGGGAACUCUGAUGCAGCGACGCCGCGUGAACGAAGAAGGCUUUCGAGUCGUAAAGUUCUUCUAUAUGGGAAGAUAAUGACGGUACCAUAAGAAAAAGCCCCGGCUAACUACGUGCCAGCAGCCGCGGUAAUACGUAGGGGGCUAGCGUUGUCCGGAAUCACUGGGGGUAAAGGGUUCGCAGGCGGAAAUGCAAGUCAGGUGUAAAAGGCAGUAGCUUAACUACUGUAAGCAUUUGAAACUGCAUAUCUUGAGAAGAGUAGAGGUAAGUGGAAUUUUUAGUGUAGCGGUGAAAUGCGUAGAUAUUAAAAAGAAUACCGGUGGCGAAGGCGACUUACUGGGCUCAUUCUGACGCUGAGGAACGAAAGCGUGGGUAGCAAACAGG
rnacentral:rRNA from 1 species